rnacentral:rRNA from 1 species
GAUGAACGCUAGCUACAGGCUUAACACAUGCAAGUCGAGGGGAAACGACAUCGAAAGCUUGCUUUUGAUGGGCGUCGACCGGCGCACGGGUGAGUAACGCGUAUCCAACCUGCCCACCACUUGGGGAUAACCUUGCGAAAGCUGGAUUAACCCCCGAUGUUGUCAUAUGAUAGCAUUAGAGUGUGACGAAAGGCUAACGGUGACGGAUGGGGAUGCGUCUGAUUAGGUAGUAGGCGGGGUAACGGCCCACCUAGCCGACGAUCAGUAGGGGUUCUGAGAGGAAGGUCCCCCACAUUGGAACUGAGACACGGUCCAAACUCCUACGGGAGGCAGCAGUGAGGAAUAUUGGUCAAUGGGCGAGAGCCUGAACCAGCCAAGUAGCGUGCAGGACGACGGCCCUAUGGGUUGUAAACUGCUUUUAUAAGGGAUAAAGUGAGUCUCGUGAGACUUUUUGCAUGUACCUUAUGAAUAAGGACCGGCUAAUUCCGUG